GAGUUUGAUCCUGGCUCAGGACGAACGCUGGCGGCGUGCUUAACACAUGCAAGUCGAACGGAAAGGCCGGGUGCUUGCACCUGGUACUCGAGUGGCGAACGGGUGAGUAACACGUGGGUGAUCUGCCCUGCACUUCGGGAUAAGCCUGGGAAACUGGGUCUAAUACCGGAUAGGACCAUUGGUUGGUACUGGUGGUGGAAAGUUUUUCGGUGCAGGAUGAGCUCGCGGCCUAUCAGCUUGUUGGUGGGGUAAUGGCCUACCAAGGCGGCGACGGGUAGCCGGCCUGAGAGGGUGGACGGCCACAUUGGGACUGAGACACGGCCCAGACUCCUACGGGAGGCAGCAGUGGGGAAUAUUGCACAAUGGGCGCAAGCCUGAUGCAGCGACGCCGCGUGGGGGAUGACGGCCUUCGGGUUGUAAACUCCUUUCAACCAUGASGAAGCUUUGUGACGGUAGUGGAGAUGAGGCC
rnacentral:rRNA from 1 species